rnacentral:rRNA from 1 species
GAUCAUGGCUCAGGACGAACGCUGGCGGCGUGCUUAACACAUGCAAGUCGAACGGUAAGGCCCUUCGGGGUACACGAGUGGCGAACGGGUGAGUAACACGUGGGUGAUCUGCCCUGCACUUCGGGAUAAGCCUGGGAAACUGGGUCUAAUACCGGAUAGGACCAUGGACUUCACGGUUUGUGGUGGAAAGCUUUUGCGGUGUGGGAUGGGCCCGCGGCCUAUCAGCUUGUUGGUGGGGUAAUGGCCUACCAAGGCGACGACGGGUAGCCGGCCUGAGAGGGUGUCCGGCCACACUGGGACUGAGAUACGGCCCAGACUCCUACGGGAGGCAGCAGUGGGGAAUAUUGCACAAUGGGCGCAAGCCUGAUGCAGCGACGCCGCGUGAGGGAUGACGGCCUCCGGGUUGUAAACCUCUUUCAAUAGGGACGAAGCGCAAGUGACGGUACCUAUAGAAGAAGCACCGGCCAACUACGUG